ACUUAAUGACAUCUACACUGCUCCAUAUAGCUCAAAAAGUGUCAAAAUGAAUUAUGCCAAAAUAACGCUACAAGUUGUCACAGAUUCUUCAUACAUGAGACAAGCACUUUACUUGUUCACAUAAGGAAUUUAACAGAAAAUUGUAAGAUAUCAGAAAUCAACCAUAUCCAUCUUCCAGAAGCAUUCAAACAUAACAAGGGCUAAAGCACAUGGUUUUGUAGAUAGAAACUUAACGAAACUCGUACUGCGACUUAUUGAAACAUUCAUUCGCUUGUUCUUUUAGAGUAUGUACCAGAUCCAAAUAGUUCAAACUAACAACGAGGAACAUAGGUGGAUCAAAACAAAAUAAAUUGAACUAUUCAAAUACAACAAUGAAACUGGUUAUGAAUACGUAGGUUUUAGCAUUCAAACAUUCAGCGAAUCCUUUGAGAAAAUUACUUGAAUCUAUCUAAACAUGACCAACUUUUCAUCAUUUGCUGUUAAAAAAAAGGAACCUGCAUUACAAAAGUUUAGAAGGUUACCUGAAUAGCAGAAAGUAAACAUAUUAACAAUGACUGAAGCAACAGAAACCAGCAACAACCAGCAGCUCUUAGACCAAAGAAAAUGAACCAAAGAUGACCAACAAAGCAAUUGAAACCAACAAUGAGUCACUCUAGAAAUUCCUUACAAGAUCCCUCUACUUUCUUAAAGGUUUUGCACUUAAGAAAUCACUCAUUAAGCUCAGAAUUUUCAGCUUACUAUUUAGGUGUUCAGCUGCUCUUCUUUACUCUCAAAGUUGUAUUCUUUUGCUAAGUGUGUAAGAAGUGUAUUUUUUAGAGUAAAAGAUGUCUAGAAGAUGUGUAAAGACCUCACCUUUAUAUGAGAGGAGGAGGACUCUUGGGAUAGAUUUUAUUUUUCCAAAAAUCUGUCCAAAAUAAUGGAUUUUUGACCAAAAAUCUUUCCAAAACCAGAAUUUUAGUUACUGAACAGUUUUUCUUACCAAUUGUGGACAGAAUUUUGGAGUAUUGUACUCCAAAAUAGUCCGCAACAGUAAAAGCAACCAAACAAAGAACCCUACACUUAAGUAUUCUCUUUUCUUUCCCUUUCCUCUUAAUUUCUCAAACCAAAUUCAAAGCUAACUAGUCCACAAAAAGAAAUCAGAUUCAAUCUAGUUCAAAUAGUUAGUAAUUUGAAUAAGAUUAGUUGAGAGUCAACCAGUAAGAAUUAAACAAGACUGAACCAUAUAAUUACCUAUACUAAACAACUACUUCAAGUUUAAUCUAGUUAAUUAGUAUUCACACUAAAUCUUUAAACGCACAAACUAUUAACUCAAACUAAAACAUGACAUCAUAAGAAAACAACUCAAAACUACAAUCCAGUAGGUGAUUCAAGCCUAACGAGUGACUAAGCAUUAUCACCAAAAUCAAACUAUACUAACAUAAACAAACUAAGUCUAAGUUUAAUUCUAAAAACUAUCGAAAUCAAAAUUAAAGAAGCAUGGAAUGACAGAUUUAAGAUUUCAAAAGCAACUACCAAUAUUAAUGAUCAGAGACGGGAACAAAACAUGACGAUUAGGCAAAACGUGUAUUAAUAGUGGCAUAUUCCAUCAAAAUUGAUUAACUUGAACAAUGACAAAAAUAAGAAAUUAGACUAAACAUGAAUGUUAAAUAAAAAAAAUAUAAACAGAAUUUAAUCUACAACAAAACUACAAACAAAUGACACAGAAAUAGAAAAAUCAAAACUUUAGAGGAAACGAUAAGGGUUUGAGAUUUAUACCAAGCUCCGGGAUAUCCGACGUCGAAUCGGGCAACGAGAUGAUGCUGAGGACGCCAAAUGGUAGCUUUCCGACCUUGGAACAUUCGUUUCCUUUUGGAAUACGCUGAACUCAAUGAACCCAACAUCAUGCUAAGAGGAAACAAAUAUUCUUGGGUCGAAACUAGGCAAAAAAAUAAUAGAAGGGUCAGCGGGCUGGUGGCAGUGGUGAUUAGACGGCGAGCAGUAGGGUGGUCGACGGUGGUGGUCGGGUUUCAAAGGUAAAAUUAGAGGGAAAGUGUAGACCUCCUGGAGAUCUACAUGUUUAUGUGAAGUUUGUAUAGUGGGGUGGUCGGAUUUUCCUUGAAAUCGAAGAGGGAAGUAAGAGGCGACUAUCUAGGGUUUCGUUUUCACGGAAUUUAGAGGGAUUUUUGAGGAUUUGGGGUUCGGAUUAGGAGAGACGGUAAAGAGAGGAAGAGAUUGGUGUGGGUUUUAUGGGCUUUGGACGAGGUCCAUCGGUGGCAGCAAUUUUCGGCCGACGGAGAUGGGCGGCAGAAGGCAGUCUCUAAGAAGAGAGGAGAGAGUAAGAAGAGAGAGGAAGAAAAGGGAGAUAAGGGGGAAAUGGGGGCAAUUUU
rnacentral:lncRNA from 1 species